rnacentral:lncRNA from 1 species
CAGAACCAAAGGUUGUUUGGUGUGUUCAUACAAUCCCUGGAUUUAUAGUUGGAUUUUCUAUAAAGGAAAAAUGAUGUAAUUAGUAUCCUGUUUUUUCCUAAAGAAAUAAUACUAUCAUAAAAAUUCUGUCUAUCCUUUGUACCCCAGGAAAAUGGACAUGAACUUUGAAUUUUCCCUUUCUCCAAAUGUUUGGCUUUUUAUUUUCACUGAUAAGCAUUAUGCUAUGUUCUUAGAAGACAAAAGCAACUCUUGCCAGUUUUGAAUAAUUUCUGCAUGAAUAGACCAGUAAGAGGAAACCAACCAGCAGGCCUCCCAGAUAGUAUCAAGGAGCUGAAACUUACCAGAACACCGCAUCUGGACAAUGAGACAUCAGACCCCUCAUCUGUUGUGAUUGCCUAAUAGACCAUGUGCUUCCUGUUGACCAAUUCCUCUUCCUUACCUUUCCCUAAUUCCUGUUUUCAUGGCUACAUUUCUUCCCUGCUAUAUAAACCCUUAAUUUUAGUCUAUUAGGUAGAUGGAUUUGAGACUGAUCACCUAGCUCCUUGGCUGCAGCACCCGAAUAAAGCUUUUUCCCCUGGAAAUACUCAUUGUUUCAGUGACUGGCAUUCUAUGCAGUGAGCAGCAGGACCUAGACAGAACCUCUGACAUUUCAGUAACAAAAGGACCUUAGAACACAUCUUCUAGCUGGAAGUCUUC